rnacentral:miRNA from 1 species
UGGGGUUUCCUAGCGGCAUGUGC